ensembl:lncRNA
GAUAUAAAUAUUUUCUUAGGCAGCCGCAACCCUUGGGACUGUGAUAGAGCCUUCCCCUAUCCCAGCCUGAGCCCAGACCCUGCUGGGAGAAGGUGGCUCUGGCUCACCGAGUGUAGGGAAAUCACUGUGGUCUCAUGCCAGUGCGACUUGCUGGAAAUCCACCCCCUAAAACUUACUGAAUAUCGACCCCCUUGGGUGUGGGGAAGCUGUUCAAAAGGAAGUGUCUUAUGGAAAAGCACUUCCCUGCAAAAACUACCCAAAAGAGGUGUCAGAAGGAGCCGGUGGUCACUGGAUGCCACCUGGCGCUGCAGAACCCUGGUACUGCAGGAACCAGUCAAGAGAGGUCACAGCAACCAACAGGCAGAGUUGUGCCCUCUCACAAGGCCUCCCUGACACCCUGCACUGAUAACGCUAAACCACAAGCCAGCUGGCAGAGAAAGCUACGCAAAAGGCCCAGACCCCUUUUUGCAAAGAAGGCGAAAAGGGUGAAUUUGGAGCUGACAGGGACGGGCACACUAUGUAACCUCAGCAGAGUCCAGGCCUUGUCUGGUUUCCCCUCCCCACACAUGCCCGCACGUUCCCGGUGGCCACUGUUAUCUCUCCGAAUCCCACCCUACUGCCCUUUCUCCCCUCGGCCUGACGUUUUGUUCCUGACUCCCACUCCCUCCGCUGCAAGUUGGCUCAGCAUUUUCUCCUAUGGCUUUACAAGGGGGAGGCUAGCUUCCUCGCCCAGCUUCUCACACCACAGCUGUGACCACAUUGAGAGGGUCAACAAAAUUGAACAGACAUUUUGGGGCAACAGAAAGGGAAUUGCAGAAGGGGAAAAUAAAAGAACUGAAACCAACUAAUGAUCCCAAAGAUGUGAAACCAUCCAGAGCAUCUCUCUCCUGGGCCCAAACCCCCCAACAGGACCCCCAGCAGAAUCCAGGCUGCAAUGCUAUCAGGGCCUAGUGAGAGGGGUCUCAAUCUUAGUCCCACUCCAUUCAGUAAAAAAAUAAUCAAUCUGCAGAGAUGAAGUUCUAUCUGUAGUAAAGAACCUAAGGGAAGAGAGUCUUCUUUGCCAAGUAAACUCUCCGCCUCAGCCUGGGCCCCGCUGGUUACAGAAAUGACAUUAGACACACACACAAUGGUAAUACCACUCAAGAACGGCUGCAUUUAAUACCUGUCUCCACGGAGCUCAAAUUCACUUUUACGGCCUGUUUGUGGGCAAGAAGGAGGAUUCGAGCGAUGGUUACUUCCUCUAAGAGCUUUUCUAUUGCUUCACGCCCCAAAUUAACAGGCUCCAUACAGCCUCCCUCCCAGCGCCCCAGGACCCACUAAACAGACAAAGACCACACUGACUCCAGCCCAGCGUCUCCAGCACUGCAGGCAGUGUGUUGCCAUGGUGCAGCAUGCAGGAUCUGAGUUCCCUUACCAGGGAUCAAACCCAUACCAUCUGCAGUGGAAGGAUGGAACUGUAACCACCAGACCACCAGGGAAUUCCCUGAUUGUUCUACGUUGAUAAAACUCAUGUUAUUCUUGCAGAGAAACCCAAGGACAUGCCAGAUUUACCUCCUCCCGGAGGAAGUGGUUGAGAAAUCCAUCUUCUUUUCAUUAUGAUGAGGGAAUGAGAAACAUGCCGUCCUGAAGAAGUACUAGGGGGACUUCUGUGUCUCCCCAGCACCAUCCCGAGGGCAAGGUGAACACAGCAGUGAUCGACGGCAGUGGUGGAGACCUGCUGUCAGCUUAUCUGUCUACCAGCUCCUGUGAAAGCAAGCCAAAGAACAAGCCAUAAGUCUACGAGCCAUUCAUGAACUCCUUUCUGCUUUGAAAAUGUAGUUCAUGCUUUCUAACUGUCAUUAUUAUGACAUGGAUGAGGCUUCCCUCAUAGCUCAGUCAGUAAAGAAUCUGCCUGCAGUGCAGGAGACCGGGGUUUGAUUCCUAGGUUGGGAAGAUCCCCUGGAGAAGGAAAUGGCAGCCCACUCCAGUAUUCUUGCCUGGAGAAUCCCAUAGACAGAGGAGUCUGGCAGGCUACAGUCCAUGGGGUCGCAGGAGUUGGACACGACUUAGAGACUAAACCAUCAACCGUGACAUGAAUGCUCAUUGAAUACUGGCUCUUGAUGAUUACAAUGACCUUGUCCUUGGGCAUACUGGAAGCAGGACAUGGCCUUCCUCCUUCCAUCCUCAUCUCUUCCCAGUCCCAGAAAUCACACAAUCAAUAACGGUCAUCUGUUGCUAAGAACUUAAGCUGUGAACUUUCUUGGGAGAUAUUUGUACUUUAAUUGUAAACCUAAUAAUGCCUUCGAGAAGCAGAGGAAUGAUGCUACCCAAUGGAUCACAGACACUCAUAGAAGCAAGGAGGCAAUCUGACUGAGGAGACCUCUCUGGAGCUCUUCAAUGCUCCCAACAGGUCCACCCUGAUGGUACACAUUUAUAUGAGAAAACACUGUAGCUGUCACUAAUUCCUUUCCUGUUGACACCUUGACCUGAGCUGUUAUUUAACUGCAAAGUACACUUGGUGGUAAACUGUAUAUAUUUCCUCAGUUGCUGUGAAUUCUGACUCAAGCUAAUUCAGGCUAGCUUAAUGAAACAAGAACCAGGAAAGCAAAAGCUUUCUGGCAGUUGCCUUGUGUACUGAUGUAGAGCUUGGGCCUCCCUGGUGG